rnacentral:rRNA from 1 species
AGCAGCCGCGGUAAUUCCAGCUCCAAUAGCGUAUAUUAAAGUUGUUGUGGUUAAAAAGCUCGUAGUUGAACCUUGGGCCUGGCUGGCCGGUCCGCCUCACCGCGUGCACUGGUCCGGCCGGGCCUUUCCCUCUGUGGAACCCCAUGCCCUUCACUGGGUGUGGCGGGGAAACAGGACUUUUACUUUGAAAAAAUUAGAGUGCUCCAGGCAGGCCUAUGCUCGAAUACAUUAGCAUGGAAUAAUGAAAUAGGACGUGCGGUUCUAUUUUGUUGGUUUCUAGGACCGCCGUAAUGAUUAAUAGGGACAGUCGGGGGCAUCAGUAUUCAAUUGUCGGAGGUGAAAUUCUUGGAUUUAUUGAAGACUAACUACUGCGAAAGCAUUUGCCAAGGAUGUUUUCAUUAAUCAGUGAACGAAAGUUAGGGGAUCGAAGACGAUCAGAUACCGUCGUAGUCUUAACCAUAAACUAUGCCGACUAGGGAUCGGGCGAUGUUAUUUUUUAAUGACUCA